AUUGCAUCUUUCAGAGUUCAAUUGGAGGGCAAGUCUGGUGCCAGCAGCCGCGGUAAUUCCAGCUCCAAUAGCGUAUAUUAAAAUUGUUGCAGUUAAAAAGCUCGUAGUUGAAUUUCUGCUGCAUCGUCGCAUCUCUUGCUGAGUGCUUCGUUUCGGCUUAUUUCGGAUUGAUUUUUUCUUUCCGGAUGAUUACUUUGAGAAAAUUAGAGUGCUCAAAGCAGGCUUUUGCCUUGAAUAGUUUAGCAUGGAAUAAUAAAGUAGGACUUUGGUUCUAUUUUGUUGGUUUUAGGUACCAAAGUAAUGGUUAAUAGGAACAGUUGGGGGCAUUCGUAUUUAACUGUCAGAGGUGAAAUUCUUAGAUUUGUUAAAGACGAACUACUGCGAAAGCAUUUGCCAAGGAUGUUUUCAUUAAUCAAGAACGAAAGUUAGGGGAUCGAAGACGAUCAGAUACCGUCGUAGUCCUACCAUUAAAACUAA
rnacentral:rRNA from 1 species